UACAUGGGGUGCAAACGUUGCUCGGAAUUAUUGGGCGUAAAGCGCACGUAGGCGGUUCGUUAAGUCGGAUGUGAAAGCCCUCGGCUCAACUGAGGAAGUGCACCCGAAACUGGCGAGCUUGAGUACGAAAGAGGAUCGCGGAAUUCCCGGUGUAGAGGUGAAAUUCGUAGAUAUCGGGAGGAACACCGGGUGGCGAAGGCGGCGAUCUGGGUCGAUACUGACGCUGAGGUGCGAAAGCGUGGGGAGCAAACAGG
rnacentral:rRNA from 1 species